AUUGAACGCUGGCGGCAGGCCUAACACAUGCAAGUCGAACGGUAGCACAGAGAGCUUGCUCUCGGGUGACGAGUGGCGGACGGGUGAGUAACGUCUGGGAAACUGCCCGAUGGAGGGGGAUAACUACUGGAAACGGUAGCUAAUACCGCAUAACGUCGCAAGACCAAAGUGGGGGACCUUCGGGCCUCACACCAUCGGAUGUGCCCAGAUGGGAUUAGCUAGUAGGUGGGGUAAUGGCUCACCUAGGCGACGAUCCCUAGCUGGUCUGAGAGGAUGACCAGCCACACUGGAACUGAGACACGGUCCAGACUCCUACGGGAGGCAGCAGUGGGGAAUAUUGCACAAUGGGCGCAAGCCUGAUGCAGCCAUGCCGCGUGUAUGAAGAAGGCCUUCGGGUUGUAAAGUACUUUCAGCGGGGAGGAAGGCGGUGGAGUUAAUAACUUCACCGAUUGACGUUACCCGCAGAAGAAGCACCGGUUAACUCCGUGCCAGCAGCCGCCGUAACAC
rnacentral:rRNA from 1 species